GCCCCGCCCACCAGCCCCAGCCCCACAGGCCGGGUCCCUUCUCUGCUCUAACGGCCGCCUCGUUCACAGAACCACAAACGUGGGUUGCAGGGACCGAGAUGUUGACAAGGCAGCCGGGGUUUACUUGGGCUGGCUCCGUGCCAGACCCAGCAGCCAGAUGCUUCCUAAAGACAUUUUCACCGAAUGCCCUGGAGGACCGCUGGUGGCAGAUGCUUGAGAACAGGAUGGGGGUGGCUUUUCCCGUGGACUUGGAGCUGCGUCAGUGCUGUAUCUGAGAAGCCCUCCCUCCCCGGCGGGUGAAGGGGAAGGCGGGCAGACGAGGCCGUGCCCUCCAAGCCCUGGGAGCGUCGGCUGAGGCCUGGGGGUGCUCUCAAGAAGGGGAGGCCGGCACCCCACGCCCGGGCUGGGCCACUGAAGCUGCUCCAAAGCAGAGAGUAGGGGGAGGCUCCGGGACAGCACACACCCCUGCUCCCCAACAGCAGGACAGAAGGGGCGCCCUCACGAGUCUGAGUCCCUAGAACACAGAUCAAACUGGCGGCCCAGCAACAUUUUCUUAAACAUUUAAAACCUGGCUGAUUUCACCUAACAAUCCAUAUCCCUGGCCUCUCUUAAGUAACCUGCCUCACAGCCACCCUUUAUGGAGCCUGGGCCAGGUGAACACAGCCACUUCUGAAGUCUCCGGAGAAAGGGGCCUCGUGAUGUGGUCUACACCGCGCUGUGCCCAAGGCAUGCUUCUUAAUCACAGGGGCCCAAGGACCCUGCAACACUGAGCCCAGCCCCAGCCUGUCGGGAAAGAGGCAGAGUCCCCACCCAAAUCCUUAGCCUGGGACAGAGCUGGGUGUGUGGCUCAGGACUCUGACGGUGAAAAGCAGAGGAAAUGGGGACACGGGCAGUCUUCCAGGUCCCUGGCCAAGGCUUCUCUCCAGGGCUCCGCCCCAACUGAGGACAGGAGAGCGAGUAAGAACCAGAGCCCGCCCAGGAACUCCCCCCUUGACCAGCAGCCUGAAAUCCGCCCACCGCCGAGGGACCCAGUUCUGAGUAAACCCUCCCCUUCACAGCCCCCGGCCCUCUGUGCAUCAGCGUCUAGAUACACCCUCCUCCUCGUUCCUGGCCAGGCCAUCGCUCCCAUCCCCGUCCGCUCAUCUGCCUGGGGGUGAUGGGCAGCUCCCACUCGCGGACAGCAGAGCCCAUCAGCGGGCGUGGGCUGAGAGCUGAGAGGGCCGCCAGGGUCCAGAGACACACAGUCUGGGGACACAGGGACCACGGACCACUGGGGACCAGGUUGCACCAGGGAGACCCAGGGCCCUGGAGACCAGCUCCUGGCCAGAAGAAACCUGAGUGUGACCUCUCAGGCCCGACCCCAGGCAGUGACAGAGGCUGUCCCUAGCAGGUCCCCCCAGGGGAAGCUGUCCUCCUCACCCGGCUGGCCACACGGCCAACACAGUGCGGCCGGGGGAGGGGGGCGUCCUCAGGUUGGCUGCCCAGACUCCCACUUGGGUCUCCUUCCUAGCCCAGGUACCUCCAUCUGAAGGCCCCUGGCGGGCCGUGGCCUUCCUAUCUGCGGAAAGGGGCAGCCUGGAAGCUGAUUGUCUCCACCAGCUCAGCCCUCGGUACUUUUUCCCUCCUAGCCCUGCCAGAAGCUGAUGUCUUGGCUGCCUGCCCGACGCCACUGACGGCGGGUGCUAGCCCUCACCCGACACGGGUGCCCGGCAUCGCGCCUCUCGCGGGCAUCGCCGCGCCACGACCCGGAAGGCGGCACCGUUGCUUGCGCUCCGGCUGCCUGUCUGAAUUGCCCACCGGACACUGCAGCGCAGCCCUUGACGGCUGGAGCGUGGAACAGCGAGGAGUGAGAAGCCCCGUCCUCCCUGAUCCGGCCCAAACUGCAACGCCACGGUUUUGGGGAGAGCCGUGAAGGACAAGGGGCCUCAAAACUCAGAGCCCUGAGGUUGCCGGCGAGGAAAAGGCUGGGCACUUACGCACCAGCUACUGGAAAAUUCCCGUUAGGCCGAUAACGAUUCUCUACCUCACGGUCGUAAAGCUUAGUUUCUCGGUCUGUUAGCUGAGAUGGGCAGAAAGCUUCCCUGCCUCCCAAAACAUCUCUUCCGCCGGUUCCCGUGACACUAGACGUGUCUGUGCCACGGCCAGGGAUGCCGUUAUGGGAGGUCAUGUCUGUUAAAAGCGAUCAUAGGGGCGCCUGGGCAGCUCAGUUGGUUGCACGUCUGACUUCAGCUCAGGUCACGCUCUCAAGGUUUGUGAGCUCGAGCCCCGCAUCAGGCUCUCUGCUGUUAGCACAGAGCCCUCUUAGAUCCUCUGUCUCCUUCUUUCUCUGCACCUCCCCCACCUACACUCUCUCUCACAAAUGAAUAAACAUUAAAACAAAAAAAAAGACCAUAGUAGGAAAUCGCGACGUCCCCUUAAGUCCUCUCCGUCUGCCAAGGAUUAACCGUAUGCACCCACCUUGGGGCAGCUGGCUUUCCACCCGAGGCUCGCCGGCCCUGCUCUGUAGCCACCGGGGUGGAAGUGGCCAGACUGCGCUCACUGGUCAGGACAGUGACCUCUGGUCUGACGCGCUCUCUCUGGGCCCGCGAUACGCCUCACACCUCAGACCCACGGCACGUGGUUACUUCCCACGUGACAGUGCUCAAGGGCCAGAAUGGGCACGGCAUCACCCCUGCAGCCCUAGGAGUGGACUGGGGCUCUGGCUCCAGCCCACCAUCCAGGGCCCGCCCUGGCCCAUCCCCUUUCCUGUUGUCCCCCAGCCAGAUGUGGGACAAGGAGACCUCUGGGUGGUGGAGACUCCUGGACCCAUUUACCUGGAUCAGCCCCACCAGCUUCUUCUGCACUUGGGACAUCCAGGUCACAAACAUCAUGGAGUCCAAGAGGUACCCGGCCGUGGGCUUCUGGGAGGUGGAAGGUGCAUUCGGAAGCAUCUCCCUGCCGGGUUGGAAGGAACCACGAGGGGCACAGAGCUGAGCUGGGGUUGGGGGAGGGACUGGGCUGUGGAGGACAGCUCAGCGCUAAGGGCAGUGGACUCCAGGCCGGGCCUCGCCCCCUCCCCAGCCUGUGCUGCCCGCCCCUCGCCCCUGCACAAGGCCCAGUGACUAGAGAGGGCAGCUGGGGUUGAGAAACCAGAGCCAGAGGCUCUGUUGGCAUAGACCAGUCUCUGGUCACACACAAGUGUGGACCGUGAGCCCCCCCCCACACACACACACACACAAACACACCCUAACAUACUAACGCACCGGCACAUAUACACGACAAGCACACUGACACGCAUGUGUCCCCGAGGCUGGGGCUGCAUCUGCCUUCUCCGGCCACCAGCCCCGCCCAGGUGGCCCCUCGAAAGGCUCUGUGUCGACCGCAGCCCUGGCCUGGGGGCCCUCACCCAGGACCCCAAGCUCCUCCAGGAGGACUCACCCCAGCUGCCCAAACAAGGUCGUCCUGCCCCAGGCAUACAGCACGCAGCAGCUGUUCCAGCUGGCGCCACAGGAGUGCUUGAGCUCCAAGAGGCGGCUGAGGAGGACCUCCUGGAAGCAGGUGCUGUAGAUCGUCCAGAGGCGGGCCCCCAGCUGGCUCGCCCUCAGUGACCCCAGGCCCUGUCUCACAGCCUCCUCUAGCUUCUCCAGGAAGGGGCCCAGCUUGCCCCUGGGGUCCCAGGUGGGCACUCGGGCCUCAGCGUCAUUUCUCAGCAGCCUCUCCAGCUGACUGCCCCAGGUGGCGACUGUGCCAUCCUCGAGGGUACCAGCCUCCAGGCUCGGGGGCUUGUCCUGUGUGUACUCCACAGUGUCCAGCACUGCCUGGAGCUUCAGCUCCAGCUCCUGGCCGUGCCUGACGCCCUCCAGAGCCUGCUGGACCACCUGCCACAUGCUCUGGGCCAGAGCCUGGUACUGGGGGCCGCAGUCCUGCCCUUCCCAUGCUGACGCGGAGACGCUCAGGUAGGCUUCCCGAAACUUCCCCUCCUGCACCAACUGUUGGAAGCCUGGAAGAAAAGAAUCCAAAAGGAUGGCUCAGCGGAGGGACUCGGAAGAAUGGGGGAAGCCGGGGAGGGGGAGGGGCGCCCGCCCAGGAUUCUUCCCCAGAGUAGGGUGGGCGUGGGCUGAGCUGGUGUCAGGGGAACCACGCACGAAGAUGAGGCAGUGGCUUGAAGAGCCUUUGGGGACGGGGCUCCUUGCGGCCAGUCAGGAUCAGCAGGGCACGAGUCUGUACGAGGGUCACAGAAGACUGGUAGGCUUUCCACCGUGUCCCCCUUGCAGCAGGAAAGCUUAACACGAGCGGUUCCUUCCCAUGAGCCUCUAAGCGCCCAGGGCGAUGCACAGUCUGCGCUUUCAUCAGCGGCGCAUUGUCAACCCGACAUUGAGGCAGCAAAGGCACUUUCCCGACCAGAGGCAGGGACAGGGGGGUCCAACAGAGGUAGUAGGAAAUAGGGUCAAAGGAAUGCCCAUCAGGACCACGUGGAGGGCUCGCUGAAGCCCAGGUUGGAAUGUGCAUCUGGGACAGGUUCCCAGGGGAUGCCAACAGUGCCGGUCCUCUGCCGGGGGGAGGGAUGCGAAGGGAAGAAUUCCGCCUUGGGUCCCAGAGGAGCCUCAGCAAGACACUGCAGCCUGUAGCUGCAGGAGGCGGGCUCUGAUGAGACUCAGAUGGGAGAGAGGAAUUGGGAGACAGGGCUGUCCAAAGCACUUGAACACUUGGACACUGAUUCUUAUGGACUUCAACUUGGAGGGGCAGUUUUGAACUUUAAAUUCUCCCUGGAAGCUUCAGAACGAGAAGGCAGGUAUAUUUCAAGUUGGGGCGCAGAAUGCCUUCCUGUCGUCAAGGGCGAACGCAUGCCCCUCCCCCCAUCUCCUAUUCUUCCUUUCUCCUAGCAAGAACGAACGUGUGAUGCCAGGAGCUGGGCAGCCGUCUUGGGCCACGAGACAGGAACCCCAUGUGGAGGAUGGUGGAGGGGUCCAAUGGUGGAGGGGUCUGGGUCCCUGAUCGUGGAGGAGCCCUGGACCACCUACCCAAAUCUUCCAUGAGAGAAGCACGUUUUAUCUUGCUUUAUCUUAAGCCACUGUUUGUUGGGCGUCUCAGUGAAAGCAGCUGAACUUACAACAAUACGAAGAGUUGAGGAGGAGUGGAAUGUGGGUUGCAAAUUAUUUUGCCCCAAGCAGGACAGCCUUUGACAGCCUUGAACUAUUCUGAAGGUGGAGAUUCCCUGUCUACUUCUCAUAGAUGGCUCCCUGUGGACAGUAAUUAAUUAGAUUGGAUGUGGAAAUAGGAACCGUGACCCCUGGAAUCUCUGUGCUGUCACCAGGUGCAGGGGCUGCCUGGACAUCAUUCCCCUUCCUUCCAGAGCUGUGCUGUCCAGCACGGCAGCCCCGAGCCACCCGUGGUUACUGAGCACUGAAAACGUCAAACCUGAGCUGUGCCGUCAGCGUAAAACACACACCAGAUUUCCAAGACUUAGCAGGGGGGAAGAAAAAGAAUGUAGCAUACCUUAAUUUUAAUACUGAUUGAACGUUGAAACAUGUUGAAAUACUACCUCAGCUCUAUUGGGCUGAAAAAAAGAUAUUACUAAAGUUAA